CAAUUUAUAUAUCGACGUGCAGGAAUGCCUUUAGCGUAUGAAGUUGCACCAAUUUUGAAUAACUCAGAGUCGGUAUAUCAUGUCUAGAUAUUUAUGUAGUUUUCAACGGUUAGUAGAAAGUUUGAAAUUAUUUUAAAUAUAGUCAUGAUGCGUGAAUAUCUAGAUGCGCGUACCCUAACUUGUCUAGAAUUGUCCAACACCGCAAAUUGUCCAAUUUUAUCUCCAGAAAAAAUGGAUGCUUUUUAGGAACAGAAAUCAAGUUUUUACAAGUUUUCGAUAUUUCGAUUUUAUAUUGAAAAUUGUCUUAUUAUAGUUUUAAAAUGUCAUCUUCGCCUUAAAUCGCAAUUACAAAUUUCAAAUUGCAUUCGAGAUAAUCUUCAAUAUGAAAUCGGAUUACGAGAACCGUUCUAGAAGUCCACUUAUGUUCCUUCCUGGAAAACAGCUAUUAUUAACAAUCUCAUUUCAUUAUUACGAAGGAAUAUGAGAAAAACGUGAUAUCCUGUGAAGGCUGCCUUUUUGUAGCUUUCAAUCUACACAGCGGAUACUAGUCUCAACAUACCGAGCGUAUAAUAUACGACUGCAUGCGUGGAAUCUGAUAAGAAGCAAAUAGGGUGGUCGUGACAAAAUGUGCUACAAUAAAACAGUAAAAUCUAUCGGUGCGUUACUCCAGCAGCGAGCACUUCGGCUUGCAUGGGAAAGUUUAGCGACAGAUAUUAAGGAAUCGUAAAAUGAAUUGGCUGUGCGUGUUUAAGGAGAAAAACACGACUGUAGCCAAACCUAACCUUAUCCUUAGGUAGUAUGUAAUUUAUAGUUGAAUCCAUAGCGAAAUGCAGCUGCGCGAUGUCAAGCUGCCGCAUGGAACAUGAGACGGGAGAGAAGCUGCAUCGGUGGUAGUUCACGGAUGCUGAUUACCGAUGUUAUUGACAUUCAGUGACAGAAUAGAAAGAACACCUUGAUGUACUUUCACGCCACAGAAUAAUAAUCCGUUUAACAAGAAGUGAAACACUGCUAUUUUUGUGGCAAUGACAUCGUAGGAAAUGUUACGUGAAACAACAGGAAGUAAGUCGCACGGCGAACGUAAUGUAUGACGAUAUCAUAAAGGAUGCGGGUUCUCAAAGACAUGCAAUAGCAUGACUGUUCGCAAACCAUUCGCAUUCUCGGCGUAUCGAUUUAAAUCGAUGGAAAACGCGUAACGAGGUGGAAUCAUGACUGGCGAAAAAUCAGGACGCGCGAUAUCACCGCAGAAUUGAGAUUGAUCUGAGAUGAACGAGAGCCGAUAACUUUCUGGGCGCGGCAGUACCUCCGAGCAAUUUGAAGACCGGCUGCUGGAUCGCUUAAAUUGUUUCGAAGAAUAGAUCAUCCCACAGCACGUUCUCUACAGGAUGUCUCAGUUAAAUGAGGACAUCAAAAUGCGUUGUUUACCAAUAUGUAUCGUGAAAAUUUUACAAAAAUGUGCCUCAUAUACUUCCGACGAAGUUAAUGAAGAGUGCUGUUAUUAUGCCGCUUCUUUCAAUCCAGGUUGAACGAUCUAUCGAGAAAUCUCUUUCGGCAUACAAUCAAAUCAUGAUUUAUCGACACGCUCUGUACGAUGAGUAAGACUGUCUACUGCCACUGGUAUGGAGAAAGUUAAUUUGUCAUUACUGUCGUGUCUUGCCGUGUAAAAUUUUGAUGCAACUCAUUUUCUUUUGUGCCAAUGUCUCCGAAUAAAUUUUCGCCAUGUUGACGAAAAAAUUAUUUUUUUAGUUGCCGUUUUACGAUCGCAAUGUAUCUUCGUCGAUUCGAAGCGAGGCAACGCUCAUUAGAGCAGUUAAUGUCCUAUAAAAAAAAGGACUCUUUCGUCCAAUCUCUUUCGAUUCAUGAGAUAGGAUCAAGUUUCUAUUUUGUGUGGGAAAGAGAAAGUGUAUACUCCACCGAUACUAAUUUCUUCAUCUCUGUGUAGUCUUGCGUUUAUUCUUUAAAAACGAUGUCAAGACACGCUGCGGUAUAUUAUUUGAGGUCACAGUGGGAAACGUAGAAGGUUAAAUGGCAGGCAAAACGUGGUAAUCGGUUGCGAGGCUAAAGACCACCGGCACUUAGUGCGUUCACUAAGCGAUUUUUACUUCCGUGAUCAGCGAGACGUACGAACGCUAUCUAAGAAUCCAAGACACCGAAGGUAAUUGCGUACACAGCCGCUGCGACGUAUGUAAUUUUGCGGCGCGGUAAUCCCAGAACGAAAUUAACUACGCUACUACGCUACUACCGCGGCAUAUUAAAAAAAAAUUUGAUUUAUUGUGAUUGUAGUUCAACGUAUAAAAAUAUAAUUCGAACGUGUGUAAUACGUCAAGACGUUUUUGCGUGUCUGGAGAGACCUUCGCAGCUUAAAGGAUACACUGUAAGUUCUAUUGAACUCGGAAAUGGUGGCCGCAUCAAUGUUCCUAGUUAACGGGUGACGCCAACCGAGUGAGUCAGCGCACGCACACAUGCAAAGGCGAAACGACUCUAUAACGAGUUAUGAUAAAAAAAGCGCGUCAACUUUCCGACAGCGCGGUAACAUUAACUUUUCGAUUAUGGCCAGUACGAUGGUCUGCAGUGAAAAACGGUUCGCUCGAUAGGGCUUCUGCUUAAAUGUUUCUAAUUCGAGGCAAGCCUUUCCUUGUUCGUGCUGUAUAAAAUUCGCUGCUCAUGGCUUCUAUUCAUCGUGAUUCUGCGCCGCGCGUGAUGGUGACGCAAGAACAACAGCACCGCGGGUUUCCAUCGCGUAUCCUCGCGCGAUCAUGCAUCGCGUGCGCGAUGCAUAUUUCAGGGAUGAUUAUAGUCCCCGUAUAAAAGGAUAUAUACAGUCAUGUAAGAGUCAUCUGAACGCGGCUUGUUGACGAUGCUUAGCGCGGCUUGUUGGACGAUGCUCAGCGCAAACGCAAUUUAAUCUCAUUUUUAAUUCGAUAUGAUUUAAAGAUUGAAUUUUAAUGCAACAUUUAAAUUGCAGAUGCAAUUCUGUACGCGUAUAAAUAAAUUCACAGGACCUGCCGCUCGUAAAUGCACUAGAAGUUAUCCAAGCUGUCCUCGCCUCAUUUUUCAACGCUGAGUUUUUAUCAGCUGUCCCACUGCACGCCACGGUAGAAUAACGUUGGUUUUGUCAACGAUUGGACUUGCGGUUUCGCGCGAGCGUCUUGUAAAUAUUAGAACGGAGAUAACGGAGCAACGCGAGUUAUUCGCCUCUAUGUGACACAACAAAGUAAACUGACGAAUCAACUAUUUGUUUUAUGAUAUAUUGCACGUGCGAAUAGAUAAACGAAAAGAUGAAAUGCAGUCUCUUUUUUUCUGCGAUAAUUGGAUACAAAAAUUUAAUUAAACGAUCAGCGAUACGAUGAUAAAAUUGAUUACCGGAUACUCCGUACAACUGAGCCCAUAAAAUUCCGCAAAGAUCUACUUUCUCUUUAUACGGACAAUUCCACGUGAACUCACUUGACCUCGAACGACCGACUUCAACAUCCACGAAUGUCGUUCAACGGAGCAUCCGCGCGGCGCGAUGCCGGAGUGUCGAUGACUAAAUGAAGCGGAUAAAUAAAAUACGGACUGAAAUUGAAGUAUGAUGGCGAAAUCGGCGUACGAGCGAGGAUCGAUAUGCCCGAGAUAUAGUGCAUACGUGACAAAUGUGUAAUUAACUUGUGAGGCUUCUUCGCUUUUUACAAUCUUAUUUCAACGAUGACAGAAAAUAUUGUUUUCUAACUGCGACUUUAACGAAUAUCAUUCAGAACUGAAAUACUAUUGAACAUAAAAUACCGAUGCAGAGGAAUUUUUAUACGACAGUUUAGCCCUUUACGCUACCAAUAUGCAAUGACAUUUUCAUCCAAAAAAAUCAGCGCGAUUAUAUCAGAGAUGCAUUAUGCAGAUUAGACUGACAGCAUGUAUCGUAAUUGUUUCAUUGUUUCAUUGUACUCCUUGUUGUAACAAUAACGGGACAAAUAUCACAAUGAAUCUCAGUCACGCAUAGGGAACUGCGAACGACCGAAAAUGGCUCGAGUUGUUAACUUGAAUAAGAAUUUCGAAGAGACGUAAAUCGGCGAGUGAACCAGAUUUCAGUUAGCAACAAUGCACAUAUCGAGAGUUGAGCCUUAGAGAAGUUUCCAAAACUGAAGCAGUCAGAAGCGGUGAACUUUUGACCGAGUAAUCCUUACCAAAAUGCAU